rnacentral:lncRNA from 1 species
AGGGCAAUACGAUACCAAUAGUUUUACAAUAUACAUCCAAUACGGUGGCAAUAUGCAUACACUAUCUAUGCAAUACAAAGGCAAUAUUAAGGCAAUAUACAUACAAUAGAACUACAAUAUUAAGUCAAUCUACAUACAAUACAUACACAUUACAGACAACAUUUUACACAUGCAAAAGAAAUCGCCACCGAACCUUAACAAUACUAGCCCGCCAAGGGAAAAUGAAGGCAACAAAAGAUCCAUGUACUCGGGUGAGCUGAACUGAAGCAGCACUCACCGUUACUACAGGUCCAUCAAAAGAUCCAUGUCUUUGUCCUUUCUCCUUGCUGCAUGCACGAGGCUAUGAUGAGCCAUUCCCUCAGCACCCAUAUUCAGCACCUGCCAGACACCAGCUACAUCAAU